rnacentral:rRNA from 1 species
GACGAACGCUGGCGGCGUGCUUAACACAUGCAAGUCGAACGGAAAGGCCCUGCUUUUGUGGGGUGCUCGAGUGGCGAACGGGUGAGUAACACGUGAGUAACCUGCCCUUGACUUUGGGAUAACUUCAGGAAACUGGGGCUAAUACCGGAUAGGAGCUCCUGCUGCAUGGUGGGGGUUGGAAAGUUUCGGCGGUUGGGGAUGGACUCGCGGCUUAUCAGCUUGUUGGUGGGGUAGUGGCUUACCAAGGCUUUGACGGGUAGCCGGCCUGAGAGGGUGACCGGCGACAUUGGGACUGAGAUACGGCCCAGACUCCUACGGGAGGCAGCAGUGGGGAAUAUUGCACAAUGGGCGGAAGCCUGAUGCAGCAACGCCGCGGGCGGGAUGACGGCCUGCGGGUUGUAAACCGCUUUCGCCUGUGACGAAGCGUGAGUGACGGUAAUGGGUAAAGAAGCACCGGCUAACUACGUG